rnacentral:tRNA from 1 species
UGUGGCUUAGUGGUAGAAUGCUUGCCUAGUAAGCAUGAGGCCUUGGGUUUGAUUCCUGGAGCCACAA